AUUGAACGCUGGCGGCAGGCCUAACACAUGCAAGUCGAACGAGCGGCGGACGGGUGAGUAAUGUAUGGGGAACUGCCCGAUGGAGGGGGAUAACUACUGGAAACGGUAGCUAAUACCGCAUACUAUCGGCUGCGCCCAGAUUGGAUUAGCUAGUAGGUGGGGUAAAGGCUAACCUAGGCGACGAUCCCUAGCUGGUCUGAUAGGAUGAUCGGCCACCUGGGAACUGAGACACGGACCAGACUCCUACGGGAGGCAGCAGUGGGGAAUAUUGCACAAUGGGCGGAAGCCUGAGUCAGCCAUGCCGCGUGUAUGAAGAAGGCCUUCGGGUUGUAAAGUACUUUCAGUGGGGAGGCGUUACCUGAAGAAGAAGCACCGGCUAACUCCGUGCCAGCCGCCGCGGUAAGUC
rnacentral:rRNA from 1 species